rnacentral:rRNA from 1 species
ACUCAAAUGAAUUGACGGGGGCCCGCACAAGCGGUGGAGCAUGUUGUUUAAUACGUCACUAACCGUAGAACCUUACCAGGGUUUGACAUCCACUGCCAUCCUAUGAAAGUAGGCUUACUCGCAAGAGUACAGUGAGACAGGUGUUGCAUGGCUGUCGUCAGCUCGUGUCGUGAGAUGUUGGGUUAAGUCCCGCAACGAGCGCAACCCUCAUCCCAUGUUGCCAUCGGGUAAAGCCGGGAACUCUUGGGAAACUGCCUGUGUAAGCAGGAGGAAGGUGAGGACGACGUCAAGUCAGCAUGGCCCUUACAUCCUGGGCUACAAACAUGCUACAAUGGACGGUAUACAAAGGGGCGCAAUACCGCGAGGUGGAGCCGAUCCCAAAAAUCCGUUCUCAGUUCGGAUCGCAGGCUGCAACUCGCCUGCGUGAAGCCGGAAUCGCUAGUAACCGCAGGUCAGCUAAACUGCGGUGAAUACGUUCCCGGGCCUUGUACACACCGCCCGU